rnacentral:rRNA from 1 species
GGGUUGUGAGGUUAAGCGACUAAGCGUACACGGUGGAUGCCCUGGCAGUCAGAGGCGAUGAAGGACGUGCUAAUCUGCGAAAAGCGUCGGUAAGGUGAUAUGAACCGUUAUAACCGGCGAUGUCCGAAUGGGGAAACCCAGUGUGAUUCGUCACACUAUCGUUAACUGAAUACAUAGGUUAACGAGGCGAACCGGGGGAACUGAAACAUCUAAGUACCCCGAGGAAAAGAAAUCAACCGAGAUUCCCCCAGUAGCGGCGAGCGAACGGGGAGCAGCCCAGAGUCUGAAUCAGCUUGUGUGUUAGUGGAACGGUCUGGAAAGUCCGACGGUACAGGGUGAUAGUCCCGUACACCAAAAUGCACAGGUUGUGAACUCGAAGAGUAGGGCGGGACACGUGGUAUCCUGUCUGAAUAUGGGGGGACCAUCCUCCAAGGCUAAAUACUCCUGACUGACCGAUAGUGAACCAGUACCGUGAGGGAAAGGCGAAAAGAACCCCGGCGAGGGGAGUGAAAAAGAACCUGAAACCGUGUACGUACAAGCAGUGGGAGCACCUUUAUGGUGUGACUGCGUACCUUUUGUAUAAUGGGUCAGCGACUUAUAUUCUGUAGCAAGGUUAACCGUAUAGGGGAGCCGCAGGGAAACCGAGUCUUAACUGGGCGUUAAGUUGCAGGGUAUAGACCCGAAACCCGGUGAUCUAGCCAUGGGCAGGUUGAAGGUUGGGUAACACUAACUGGAGGACCGAACCGACUAAUGUUGAAAAAUUAGCGGAUGACUUGUGGCUGGGGGUGAAAGGCCAAUCAAACCGGGAGAUAGCUGGUUCUCCCCGAAAGCUAUUUAGGUAGCGCCUCGUGAACUCAUCUUCGGGGGUAGAGCACUGUUUCGGCUAGGGGGUCAUCCCGACUUACCAACCCGAUGCAAACUACGAAUACCGAAGAAUGUUAUCACGGGAGACACACGGCGGGUGCUAACGUCCGUCGUGAAGAGGGAAACAACCCAGACCGCCAGCUAAGGUCCCAAAGUCAUGGUUAAGUGGGAAACGAUGUGGGAAGGCACAGACAGCCAGGAUGUUGGCUUAGAAGCAGCCAUCAUUUAAAGAAAGCGUAAUAGCUCACUGGUCGAGUCGGCCUGCGCGGAAGAUGUAACGGGGCUAAACCAUGCACCGAAGCUGCGGCAGCGACGCUUAUGCGUUGUUGGGUAGGGGAGCGUUCUGUAAGCCUGCGAAGGUGGCCUGUGAGGGCUGCUGGAGGUAUCAGAAGUGCGAAUGCUGACAUAAGUAACGAUAAAGCGGGUGAAAAGCCCGCUCGCCGGAAGACCAAGGGUUCCUGUCCAACGUUAAUCGGGGCAGGGUGAGUCGACCCCUAAGGCGAGGCCGAAAGGCGUAGUCGAUGGGAAACAGGUUAAUAUUCCUGUACUUGGUGUUACUGCGAAGGGGGGACGGAGAAGGCUAUGUUAGCCGGGCGACGGUUGUCCCGGUUUAAGCAUGUAGGCGGAGGUUCCAGGUAAAUCCGGUACCUUUUAACGCUGAGGUGUGAUGACGAGGCACUACGGUGCUGAAGUAACAAAUGCCCUGCUUCCAGGAAAAGCCUCUAAGCAUCAGGUAACAUUAAAUCGUACCCCAAACCGACACAGGUGGUCAGGUAGAGAAUACCAAGGCGCUUGAGAGAACUCGGGUGAAGGAACUAGGCAAAAUGGUGCCGUAACUUCGGGAGAAGGCACGCUGGUGUGUAGGUGAAGUCCCUGCGGAUGGAGCUGAGACCAGUCGAAGAUACCAGCUGGCUGCAACUGUUUAUUAAAAACACAGCACUGUGCAAACACGAAAGUGGACGUAUACGGUGUGACGCCUGCCCGGUGCCGGAAGGUUAAUUGAUGGGGUUAUCCGUAAGGAGAAGCUCUUGAUCGAAGCCCCGGUAAACGGCGGCCGUAACUAUAACGGUCCUAAGGUAGCGAAAUUCCUUGUCGGGUAAGUUCCGACCUGCACGAAUGGCGUAAUGAUGGCCAGGCUGUCUCCACCCGAGACUCAGUGAAAUUGAACUCGCUGUGAAGAUGCAGUGUACCCGCGGCAAGACGGAAAGACCCCGUGAACCUUUACUAUAGCUUGACACUGAACAUUGAGCCUUGAUGUGUAGGAUAGGUGGGAGGCUUUGAAGCGUGGACGCCAGUCUGCGUGGAGCCAACCUUGAAAUACCACCCUUUAAUGUUUGAUGUUCUAACGUUGGCCCGUAAUCCGGGUUGCGGACAGUGUCUGGUGGGUAGUUUGACUGGGGCGGUCUCCUCCCAAAGAGUAACGGAGGAGCACGAAGGUUAGCUAAUCCUGGUCGGACAUCAGGAGGUUAGUGCAAUGGCAUAAGCUAGCUUGACUGCGAGCGUGACGGCGCGAGCAGGUGCGAAAGCAGGUCAUAGUGAUCCGGUGGUUCUGAAUGGAAGGGCCAUCGCUCAACGGAUAAAAGGUACUCCGGGGAUAACAGGCUGAUACCGCCCAAGAGUUCAUAUCGACGGCGGUGUUUGGCACCUCGAUGUCGGCUCAUCACAUCCUGGGGCUGAAGUAGGUCCCAAGGGUAUGGCUGUUCGCCAUUUAAAGUGGUACGCGAGCUGGGUUUAGAACGUCGUGAGACAGUUCGGUCCCUAUCUGCCGUGGGCGCUGGAGAAUUGAGGGGGGCUGCUCCUAGUACGAGAGGACCGGAGUGGACGCAUCACUGGUGUUCGGGUUGUCAUGCCAAUGGCACUGCCCGGUAGCUAAAUGCGGAAGAGAUAAGUGCUGAAAGCAUCUAAGCACGAAACUUGCCCCGAGAUGAGUUCUCCCUGAGACUUUAAGUCUCCUGAAGGAACGUUGAAGACGACGACGUUGAUAGGCCGGGUGUGUAAGCGCAGCGAUGCGUUGAGCUAACCGGUACUAAUGAACCGUGAGGCUUAACCUUACAACGCCGAAGCUGUU